rnacentral:tRNA from 1 species
GCCAACGUAGCUCAAUCGGUAGAGCAAUCGCUUCGUAAGCGAUCGGUUAGGAGUUCGAUUCUCCUCGUUGGCU